ensembl:lncRNA
GCUAGCAUGAACUUUACAUACUGCAUGCCUUACUGAUUGAUUAAAAAUGUAGUCAUCCUUAAAGACAAAUCACCUAAGGACUUACAAUUCCAUGAGCUACACUUUGGUCCUAUCAAGACAGGCAGGCAGCUGCAUGAGAGGUGGAAAGAGAGAAAAUGAUUGAGAUGAAAUCACCACCAACAACUAUUGCAGGCAGCAAAGCAGCAUUGGAUUCCAGCCACCAUACUUCUGCAACCAGGUGUGAAUGAGCCUGAUGGGAUGUUAUUAUGGAUCCUACACUGAAAAAGGGAGAGGGAUUAAAAUCUGUGUUCACAGGCUGAGAGCAGGUGUCUGCGAUGAGAUCCCAUGCUGUGACAUGCAUGCAGCACACUCUUACAUGAAAAGCCCUGGCUGAUGAAAUGACCACAGGAAGACAACACAGAACCCUCCUGGCAGGAUCAGAAGAAGCUUAAUUAAGCUCUGUGGUUAAUGUUAAAGUCCUUUUGUCAGAAGCAUAACAAGGAACUUCAGUCUGGCUUUCAAAAGUGCUGAACACCCAAAACUCCUACUGAGGUCUCUGUGAAUCACAGCACAGAACAAGUGACUCUUCCCUUCACUCUGCAAGUGCUACAGAUUCAUGUGCUUCUACUAAAAUCUCCACGUGCCCGGCACUACAGAAGAGGAAGUGUGGCUCUCUGAACUGAGAUUUUUGGAUGAAGCUCCAAAAAAUGCUUCUGCUUCCAGCACUCCCCACCCCAUCCCACAGGCUGUCUCCUGGCCUUAUGCUCCUGUGUAUUGAGGGAAGGCAGCUCUUCUGCCCUGCAGGUGGAGAAAUCCCUUGGCCAGGCCUUGGUGGAUCCUUCAGGCCCAGCCUCUGUCCCACGGCUGCUCCCCAGCGCAGCACUCAUUUCUGCUGCAGUAUUCUCCUGGAGAAGCUGGCAGUCCAUGGCUUUGACAGGUACAUUCUUUACUUUCUGGGCAAAAAACUGGCUGAAGGACAAGCCCAGAGCGUGGUGGUAAGUGGGGUUAAAUCUAGCUGGCAACCGGUCAUGAGUGGUGUUGCCCAGGGGUUGGUACUGGGGCCUGUCCUAUUUACUAUUUUCAUUAAUCACCUGGACAAGGGGCACCUUCAGUAAGUUUACAGAUGACAUCAAGUUGGGAGAAAGCCUUAAUCUUCCUGAGGGUAAAAAGGCCCUUCAGAGGGAUCUGGACAGGAUGGAUCACUCGGUUGAGGCCAAUGGGAUGAAGUUCAAGAAGACCAAGUGACAAGUCCUGCACUUUGGUCACAACAACCCUAGGCAGUGCUACAGGUUUCGGGCAGAGUGUCUGGAAGACUGUGGAGGAAAUGGACCUGGGGGUAUUGGUCAGCAUUUGUCUGAACAUGAGCAAGCAGUGUGCCAAGGUAGCCAAGAAGGCCAUUGGCAUCCUGGCUUCUAUCAGAAAUAAUGACAUCCUGACUUGUAUCAGAAAGAUUGUUACCAGCAGGACUAGGGAUGUAGUCAUGUAUCCAGUUACACAGUGGACUAGUUGCUGUGCUGAGAAGCACUAACAGACUACUCAUGUGCAGCCUUGUCCCUUUAAACAAGCAACCAGAGCAUGUCACCUGGACUUUGACACUCAUGAUUCAAAGAAGGAUAGAGACAGCCCUAUUUGGAAUAUCUAUAGGAGUGCCUGAAGUAACCCCAAUUCCCUGCUGAAGUACCUAAGUUUUCUCCUUUAUAUCUAUGCUUUCCUGGUCUCUGCAGAGACUUCCAAGGAAAAUCCUUAAUGAGGACUUGUCCUUCUUUCUUAUGGCAUGGACCCAUGGCCAAGGAAAACUACGCCAAGAUUUCCAAGCUUGUAGACGCCACCACUGCAACAUCUGAUUGGAACAACUGCUACCAUCCGGAGCUGAGCACAUCUGAACUGGUGAACCGUCUGACUGAUCCCCACUCACGUAAGCCAGACAGCUUGCUUAUUACUAACAGCUUUAGCUGGAACGGUUACUUAAUUAAAAAUGCCUUGACCAGUCCCAUCACUGCAGGAAGCCAAGACCAAAAAGACUAAGAAAAGUCACUGUGAAUCCAAAUGAAAACCUGCCAUGACUUUUCCUUUGCUCUUCAGUUUCCGAUGCAGAUUCACUUCCUGAUGAGUCAUGAUGUGCACAGCACAUCUGUAUGAAAUAAGUUGUUUCUUCUGACCAUCCCCUGCUACAUCUCCUCCCUCACCCCUACAUCUCAUUCUUGUUUCUAGACCUUACUCACCAAAACUUUCUUAGAAAGAAAGAAGUAAACAACUUUUAAUGCCCACCAGUGCUGUUAUGACAGUAUGAACACUUGAUGUGGAUUUAACCUACAGCUUCAGCUCAGGACUGUGAGCCUGAGCUCUGACUGGUGACAUGAGCAAUCUCUCUGCCACUACAGGAAAAAAAAGAAAAAAAGUGGAGGUUAAACUUUUGAAGAGUACCAAGAAAUGUCUCAAGUUACAUCCCCGGCCUGGAAUUUUAUCCCGUGGUACAUAAAAAAGGGAUGGUUACAUGGAGAAAGCUGGGUGAGCUGACAUAAGAGGUGCUACCAGAGCUUUGUUUGUUGUGUAAAGCAUGAGGGCCUAUUUCUGGCCAAGGAAGUAAACAGAGUUUGGCUGCAAGCUUAUUCUGCUACAGUGCUAAAAUAUUUCCCUCCUGGACACUUUCGUCUCUUUAUUUUUGAUUAAGUGCUGUGCCUCUGCCACCUUGCUGCUGCCUGCUGCUCCUUUCUCCGACAGUUCUCUUUUAUUCCAGCUUCUCUUUUCACUUUUGUCUUUGCUCAUUUGUUUUUCUCUUGGACAUUCUGUACAACGUGCUGUCAUGUACCAUCAUGUUUUAUCCUCUCUCAGCUCUACGUAGACUCCAGCCAGUCCGUGUAAGCUUCCCUGGCAAUUGUCCUGGAGCAGUGUUUCCAUACUAGCACUUCCUUUGUUCUUUGUCCCUGCCCAACUAUGGGAAUUUGUUUGCAUUUGCACAAAGCAUAGACAUUCUGUUUUAAAGAUUUUAUCCCACAGCUAUGUCAAGUUCCUAACACUGUUUGCAUCAUCUAAAAGGUUGCAUUUUUCAAAAACAAAAUAAGAGCCUGCUAGCUGCUUACACUGAGUGAUAAAACAGCAAGUACAAGAACUCUAAAAAAAAAAAAAUAAUAUAUGUGGGUUUGUUCAUGACCCUGACGAGACAUUCGUCUAUGUCGUAAUCAAAGAAUGGCCUGGGUUGGAAGGAACUUCAAAGAUCAUCUAGUAAUCCUUGUCUUCAGUCUACCACUGAUCUAAGCAUGAAAAAAUUGGCAGAUUUGUGUUAUCUAACAGCACCCUUUUCAGAGACAGAUAUAAGGAAGCACAUAGUAUUGGGGCAGCAUACUGUAUAGCAGGAGAAAAUUGACACUCUCAUGUGGGAUUCUGCCCUGGUAAUCUAGCUUAACACAGGCAAUACUGUAGCUUCUCCCAGUUGGUUCACACUUUCAACCUUUCUGAAUUUACUCAGGUGGAGAAAUUCUAAUGCUCACGCAAAAAUCCUACUCAUUGCAAAGAAAGGUUUACUCAUUGUCUAGGGCAGGGCUGAACAUCAAGAUGCCUAUGGACACUCUGCCAAGGCUCUGCUUCUUAUGUCACCUCAGAUUCAUUAGUUCAUCCAAGGCUCAGAGGAAGCAUCUAAUUCACUUUUUGUGAUAUCGUAUUGCCCACACCCAAACUCUGACUCUUGGCUGUGUUUUUUCUCAUAAAGCAGCAGCCAGCACCUUCCCCUGCAGCCUCCAACAUCUCUAUUAGACAGGCUAUUCUGCAGACCAUACCACAGAUAUAGAUAUCCAUCCUGUGCAGUGGAUAACUCUGCUUUAGAGGGCACACCAGCUGCAGUUUCUACUGCCACACCUUACUUCCUUUUGUUCAUAACUUUACCAAAAUUUAACUGUUUGGACUUAAUUGUUGAACAGAAGGUUUUUCUUUUCCUCUCACCAUCCAAACCUAAGCAUAUGGGAAAAUUUCAACUACAAUAUUUCACUAUUUCUAGAAAUUGAGACCAGAAUCAAGGAAAAUUAUUUGUUUAGGAAAAAGAAAGACAUCCUAGAACCUGCAUUAAGGUUCUUUAACAUUCUGCUACCUGGAACUAGACAUCUGCUUUCAGAAUGCUACUGUGUGGCUUGUUUGUCAUUUUUUUGUGGACAUUUUCCCAUAUGUGACAAAUUACAUACUUUUAAAAUAAAAAUCUCUGUGUGUUUGUUCAUGUCUGGAGAAGAUUUGUUGAAGUUGAGGAACUGAAGUAUCUGAGGAGUCCAAUUUUCAGACCCUUCCAGUGAGGACACUUCAUCUUCUUAUGCUUGAGGACCAAAUUAUAUGAUCUUGCUAUCAAGUGACUUGACAUGUUUUAGCCAGCAGUACAACACAGUCCUUCCUUGCUGAAGUAUUACUGUCAAUGGAACAUAAUGCCAGGAAAUUCUCUCUUUUAAUUCCCAGUUCUCCAUCUGCUCAUGCCCAGAAGAAAGAGCGAAUGGGAUGAGUUAGAAUUUUAAAUAAAAUAAUUCAAAUGAAAGCAAUAUUUGCUCACAUAAGCAUCAAGUACUGUGAUUUUCUAAUGCUGGUGGUGAUGGGAAAAGUUGUCAAGAAAGUUGUCUUUAAGCUUCCUUCCAACCUAAACCAUUCUAGGGUUCUGUGAGAUGUGGCCCAUUUGUUCUCUGCACUCCUCACUGAAUAUCUAAUAAUAAAAAUUAAUGUGAAUCCUCUGUGCUUCUGAAGAGCAAACUAUCACUAAAAGCAAUGUGCCAAAUACUCUUCUUCCAUGCGGCUCCACUGAUGGGCCAGGGAUGCAAAGACAGGGUUUGACAGUAAGAGAUUGCCACAAUGUGUGUGGGAUCCAGAGCAUUAAAAGGCAAGGUUACGAUUUCUCAACAUGAAAAGUCUGAAGGAGGAUUCCUGUUCAGAGUGAUUUCAUCUUAGAUGGGAAACAAAUGGAAGAGAAGACUGUGCACAUCUCUGUAAAGCGCUGUAGCAGUUUGGCAUGAUAGAGUGGCAUCUGGGGACUUGGAGAUAUACUCUUUGGAAAUGUAAAGGUAUAGACAAAAUGAAGUCAUAUUAGGCACAGAACCAUCUAUCUCUCAGCAGCGGAGCUGUCUCUCCCUAAUGUAUGUCACAUCUACUCAAAAGUGGGAGAAAACACUCUUCAGAUUCCCUAGUAUUUAUGGAACACACUGAAAGAAAUUGUACCUCAGAACACCAGACUUGCCCCAUAAAAUAAGGAAUGACACUGAUAUAAAGCUGAUUUUCUUGACUGCCGUUCUCAGCAUUCUGGAGAGCCUGAUCCCCAGUAAGGCAAUUUGGCAGAUAGCUAGCUGCUGUAAUGGGGGCAAAGACAUGCAUUUGUUGGAAGGAGAGGCAAAAAGGAAAUGUUAUAGCUUUACCCUCUAAAAUCCAACCCUGUACUUUAAGAACAAAGAUACUUUAAUCACCUUGGCAGCCAGUAUAGCCAGUUCUGAUAUAGGAAAGGUCAAAGAUAUCAUCCUUCUAUUAUCUAGAUUCUAAUUAGGUUGUGAGUAAAUAGGGAACACUGAAGUUGUUUACACAGUGAUUGUCAUGUGCCCUACUGACUUGAAAACACCGAAGACUCCAGCAGCUUUCAAAGCUGCCCAUUGCACAUGUACAUGGUUCUACAAAGUGCAGAAGAGGAGGCUCAGGGGAGAACUCAUCUCACUAAAACUACCUGAAAGGAGGUUGUAGUGAAGUGGACACUGGGCUCUUUUCCCAAGUAACUAAUGAUAGGACAAGAGGUAAUGGCCUCAAGUUGUGCCAGGGUGGUUCAGGUUGGAUGUUUGGAAAGAUUUCUUCUCAGAAGCAUGGUGAGAUAUUGGAACAGACUUCCCAGGGAGGUGGUAGAGUCACCAUCCCGGGAGGAUUUCAAGAAAAGGGUAGAUGUCACACUGAGUGACGUGAUCUAGAAGGGUCACAGGCAUGGGCUGAUGGUUGUACUAGAUGACCUUAGUGAUCUUUCCAACCUUAAUGGUUCUAUGACUCUAUGAAAUGUGGUGAAUUUGAUCUUAGCCUGAAAGAUUUUUUUUAAGUACAUGCACGCUCAUUCCAAAAAAAAAAAAAAAAAAAAAAAAAAGAGAGAACUGUAGAUCUCCAAAGAAUAACUGAGAAGUCAGUAUAGUUCCCCAGAGUGCUAAGACCUACCUAUCUGCUCUCCAUGCAAACUUCAUACAGACCAUGGUGUCUUAGUUUAGCUGAAGAUUAUCUGAGCAAUAAAAUGGCAUAAGGGAUGAAUUCAUCCAGUUUUUGGAAAAAGUUCUGCUCAUUUCCAUGAAAAGCCCUGCAGUGGUUGAGCUCCUUUUGACUUACGAUGAGAGAUGAUUUUGACCUGCUCUCUAUCAUCUGUUAGGCUGCAGCUGUGCCCUCUAGCACUGUAUAUGUAUUCCAAGCUCAUCUAGAUGUGGAAACAAAAGCACAAAUGAGAUGACAAUCUUCCAUUCUUUCUGUGUGCUGCCAAUACCUGUUUGUCCCUAUAAUGACAUUAAUCAUCUUUUAUUUAUAGUGGAAUAUUGGAAGCUUCAAUUUUUCCCUUUUGAUUUAUUUGUAGGACAACAGGUGCACAACUUAAGCAGGUGUAUGGAUGUGCACAUAUGCUGUGAGUUUGCCAAUAGCCAAAAUACAUCUUUAGUAAAUGAUUACUUGUACCAAAGCUGCCAUUAUUUUUGUUUCAUGCCUAAACUUAAUUCCACAACUGUUAGCUCUUACAGUCUAUUAUGUGCUUUGUGUUGCAACUGCAGUAAUGCAACUCAGAAAUGCAAAACCUCUCACCCUUCAAAACCCUUUGCAAACAAGAUGUCCCUAAACCAUACACUGCUCCCAGUUUCUGAUACUUGGAAAAGGUACCGAAAAUGUAUCAACAGUUUCCAUUGGCAACUGCUGCAGAAUAGCAUGAUGAUACCGGUCCAACAGCUGACACAAAAUGCCUUUCCAUAUGUAAAGCUGUGCCUUAAACACACAAGGGACACUAAGAAUAAACGUAUUUUCUAUUUCUUUUGUCUAACAGCAAAUGGGUUGUGAAGAAGUGCUGGAUGCCUUAAAAAAUGCAGUUAUAAUUUUGGAUCCAAGCUGUGAGAACACUCAUUGGAGACAACUGUUCUCUCAUGGGCUAGCCUUGAAUAAACAAUCACAGCUCUGUGUGAUAUUACUUCUUAACCAGAUUCUAGCAUUGAGCUGUUGCCUUGCCAUGGUUACUUGCCUUUUAAACCAAUGUUUCUUUUCCUUCCUUUUUGCCAAGAUUCUUGCUUGCUUGGCAGUCGCUCGUUCUCCUUUGAACUUUUGCCCUAUUUUAAUCUCCACCAAAUUUUUAGUCUAAAAGAACCUUUUCAACGAUAUCUUUUGUUGUCCUGAAUUUCUUUUCUCGCUGUGAGAACUUACUUGGGGACAUGGCUUACGGGAAAGUGCCCAAGUGACUGUCUUCUCCUGAGUAUCCAGCAGCUGGCAUGCAUCCGUGAGGAGAUUAUGAAACAAAGCCACGACAGCACAAGACAGUGGCCACUCCUGAAAUAAGAUUAAAUAGUAAAGAAGGACACACGUACACACACAUGCAAACUACCAGGUCAUUCACUGGGAGAUUUACUUGUGCUUGUUAGCUCCUGAGCUUGCCUCAACUGAAUUCAUCUGAGGAUAACACCGUUAAAACCCAUGUCAGAGCAUCACUCUGCCACACAGGGGUCCAGAGCAGAAUCCCUCACUUGUGCUGUGCCCCGGGAGCUGGCAGAGCACCGCAUCCCAUGGAUCAUGUGGGAGUCCUGGAAAAAGGAAGCAUGUCUCUGGCUGCCUCGGGGUAACUCUCCAGGCAACCUGGAAGAAUCAAACUCACAGCUUCUGUGAAGAAGUUAAAAUUCAUCUUAUAUCAGGCAAACGCAUCACCUUGACAUAUUUUGACUUUUUUUUUUUUUUUUUUUUUAACGUGUUUUGUCCUAUUUGGAGAUUCAGGGGGAGAAAUGCAUGCUCUCUCCAAAAUAUUUUUUAGUCACUAAUAUUGUUCCCACUUCUAAAAAGAAAAAGAAGUUAACACAAUUCAGUUUCAGAUUCAUCAAAAGACAUCACUGUGUGAUUUUCUAAAGUAAAGGCAAGUACAUGUGUACAGUAUUCCUGUGCAUAACAUACAUGUGUGUACAUAUAGGUGUACAAAAACAGUGACAGUAUUUCAUACGCAUAUUUAUUACUGGGAAAACCGAUUUUCUUACCAGAAGCAUAACUGCCAAAUUUCUGGCAUUAGUGAAAGCCCAGCUAUUACUAUUUAGAAAUCUCUGUCUCAGGCUGAAUCAUUUUUUGGCUGAGUUUUUAAUGUAAAGUAAAACCUAGCACAAGCCUCAAGGACAACAGACCCCUGUGGUGUGCUGUAUGUAAAAUGAACCACAUUAAUGUCAUUCUGGUAUGUGCAUCAUAUAUUCUGAUAGAGAAACCAGGGCCAAUAGUUUAGUCAUAUUUAUUCACAGACUAAUAAGAAUCUGUGUUAAUUGACUAAGAUAUGCCUGAGAGCAUCUUUUCACCAUCUGAAUAGUUGGGCUGAAUGUAGGAAGACCAGCAAGAUACCUAUUUCCUUUAAAACAUAACCUUACCAACAUUUUAUGUUAGAAGAUUUUAAACUAAAUCAAACAAUUCAAAGUCUAUCCUUGCUCACUCUUAUUUAUUAACUUUUAGAGAGCAAUUUUCUUCACAGUAGCAAAAUCAAUACUCUGAGAUAAAACUUCUAACAAGAGUUUCCUUUCUCAUAAAAUUUUAUUGGCAAUUUAAUUCUUCAUCUGUAUUGAAAUGGUAAAAUGUAAAGAGCAAUGUUCUUUUUUGCUAGUAAAACAUCCUUAUUUACUUUGGAACACAUGCAGAAGGCACAUUUUCAGCUGAGUUCAAUCAUUUUCUGUUUCCUUGAUAUCUUCAUAUGCAGACAAUCCUGACUGACAGAAAAAUCACUAGCUAAUUGACUACAGCAUGCUUUAUAUGCAAGCUUUAUAUGCAAGUAUUGGUAGCAACCUACUCUUUAGACUCCCUGUGGGCUGGAGGUGGGCAACCUGCGGCAGAAGUGCCCAGCCAUGUGCUGCUUUGCUCUUCACAGAAACAAGAUGUUACCUUGGAGUAAUUUGCCCCUUAGCACCCAAUAUGCAAACUUCCAAUUGACUCCAGCUGGAUUUCUGCACCUUGCUGUAGUUCACGUACAGCAGCAAAUCCUUGUACUACCUUGGGCAUGGAAAAGAGGUAAACAGGCACACCAUGCCUCUCAGUCCAGGAUGGGAACAUAAGUAUUUAAGAGACAGACACGCAUCCUUUCCCAUGAGAAAGGAGGAGACAGAGAAGGAAGGCUACUCCACACCGUGCACAGGGUGUGUCCACACAGUGGUAAUGUGUUGCCAUUCUCAGCUUUUCCAUCCAGCAUUUUCAAAAUUAGACUGGUAGUAAGUAAGGCUUGAGGGGCCGGCUGAGCUCAGCUUUUGGGAAGGAGGCUCCACUGCGUACAAUGCUGACUUGAGUCCCAGUGUCACUUUCCCACACGGAGUAGCCCCUUGAUCUGUGAGUAGUGCCUAUGACUUCUGCCGGGACCACUCGCAAGGACAAUGCGGCUCAGCAGGCUCUUUGUAAAUGUGUGGCCGCAAUACAUUCAUCAGCAACAAUGACUCCUGUAAUCAUUUACAAUGCCUUUGGGCCUCUGUGUGUAAAAAAAGCAUCGCUACGCCAAACCAAUGGGAGAAAAGCUUGUGUGGUGGUGGCUUUAAAAUCGGAAUUGUGAAGCGUUAUUUGUAUCGAGAGACGAAAUAGCAAGAAGUGGAAAGGGUGAGAAAACAUGAAAAGAAAUGCGCUUAGGGAAACAGAAGCUGGAAGUAAUCAAUAAAUCAUAGAAGAAAGUAAAGAGAAAGAACCUUUAAAGUGCCCAAGCUUAAAUGUCAAGAGUAUUAGAACAAAAGAGCUCAAAGCAGAAGAUUGUGUGACAGAGGAAUAUGCUGAAACUCUGUCAGAAAGCAGGCUCACUCCUGAGCGUGGAAAACAGUACAGACAAUGAAGGGCAGCAGAGAAGAACAGAAUAAGAAAUGAGGACACCGUGUACGUUCCUCUUCCUUAAAUAGCUUGAACACACAGGAUUGGUAUUAUUGUUAUUAGAAGACUCUGAGGAGUAAAACUGGAAGAACACCAUCACAGUUGUUGAAAAGAUCAGCUUUAAGCUAUGUAAUAUGCUAAGAAUGUGCUAUCAUAUAUGCAUGAAGGUAUGCCAUCAAUAUUGCAGAGUAAAAAGAUCUUGCUUACAUUGUCCUCCGCCAAAAAGAAACAGAGCCAACCAAGGCAGAGCUGUUGUUACAUUUAUCCCUAGACAAAUUCCUACAGUUACAUUUUUUUUUCCUAAUGACACUCUUUCAGUGAUGCACUUAAUCACACAUAGCUCUAGGCACAAGUGCUUGUCCCACUGAAAUCCACGUAUAUAAACAUACACUUAAAGUUAAGCUGGUACUCAAAAUGUUUUGCUGAGCUGAAGCCCGUGUGCUGAUGGAUUGCCUAGUUAGCCAUAAGCUGCAUGGUUACAUCUGUUUUUGACUUCUGGCUCAGAAACAGAUACCUGCUCUGUUUGAAUCAAAUUUAUCAUGGCCGCUACUCAUAUAAAAAUGCUUUUGGCACCACACAUGUCUGUGUUGUGAAACCAAAAUUUUAUGUUAAAAAUGGAUUUGUGGUCAACUGAGCAAAGGCGGCUUACAUUCUCCUCGGCAGAAACCUGUACGGGAAGAAAUUAAACGUGCCUUGAUGUACUUUGAAAAAGAGAAUUUGAGAAGCUCUCACAAAGGCUGCUGGAAAACAUCUGUCACAGCAAAAGGCAGACAAACCCCGGGCACUAUGCGUUGGGUGAUGGACUUUGCCAAGCAUGACAGGCAUGAGGGCUGCUGCAGCUAUUGAGACACACUGGCAGGCAGUAGACCUGAGCCGCAGCUCUUUCUUAAGAGCCCUGGUGGCACUGCCCACUGCACAGGUCUCAUUUCUGGGUCAAGUCUGAACAGAUAAUCUUUGCAGUUUGCUUGAGGUCAUGAUACGACUGUCGUAAAAACCAUUAUAAAGGCAUGCCCCUGGGGUAUUUGUUCUUGUGGGAAUAAAGCACUUAAAAUCCACACGGACCACUCAGUCAGUGGCAGGAAAGAGAACACAUACUGAAUUGUUUGUAAAAUAUUAUUAGCUUGAAUCAGGUGGUGAUAGCAAUAUGGAAACACAGCAGCUCAGUCCACUCUGAAGUCAUUAUUAACAUUAUCCUGCUAUUUGAGUAUGUACACACAAAUGACAGUACCGAUAUGCCAUUCCAGAGUAACAUCAGCAGGUAAAUUGACUGUUAAUGCUUGUGUUAAUGUUACUGAGCAUGUCCACAAUAACAAAGACAUUUCCAAAAACCUGAGUGAACUGAUGACAGGAGAGUGAUGAAUCAUGCAAAAAAAAUAAAUAUUACCACAAGUGCUCAUUUGACAGCAAAGAAUUUUGUGGUACCGCUCUGUGAGACAUUUAAAAUUUCAGUCAUAAUUUUAGGAGAUCUCUCUCAUUCAAAUUGUCAAAGCCUAGCAAGCUUGUUAACAACAUCAAGGGGUGACUGGUUCUUCAUCUUCUUGCUCUUGUUCUACUGAAUGAUCGAGGAACAAACUAAAACUGACAGCUAUUGCAAGGAUAACAAGAAUUAGGAGAUACAAAAUAUGUUUCUACCCCUCCUUGUCAAAUUCAGCCUAAGGUAGUUGAUAUUCAGUUCCGGAAAAUGUUGCAAAACUAAAAGGAGCUGUAGCUUAGAUCCUGGAUGUUCUGUCCCCGCCAAGCAGGGCCACUGGAGUGGCAUGAAGCAGGACAGCUAAUGGAACUGGGGUCCAUCAGCUCCCUUCUUUCAGGUUGCUAAUUCUACCAUAUACAAACGAGCUAGGAAUCCACUGAAAGAAUUAACAUGAAAGUUCUAAAGUCUCCCCAUGAUUUUCACAGUAUCUUGACAAAUUUGAUUGUAGGAACAGCAAAGCAAGUCCUUAAGCUAUGGUCUUUUUAUUAAAUAUUUGAUCUCCAUUAAAACAUCAAGACUUCUUGGUGGUGUUAGCUUUCAUUGUGAGUGAAUGCUUUCAAUCCAUGUCUUAGUUACCCUGGAUUCUUAGUUGAGAAAAUAAUAAAUAAAUAAAUAGAUGUUGAUGUACAUGAAGUACUGUGCUUAUUCACUGCAUACCAAUGUUCGAGAGUGUAAUGACAGGACAAGGAGCAGUGACUUUGAACUGACAGUGACUAGAUUUGGAUUAGGUAUUAGAAAAAACUUCUUUACUCAGAUAAUGGUGAGACAAUGGCAGAGGCUGCCCAGAGAAGCUGUGGAUGCUCCAUCCCUGAUGGUGCUCAAGAGCACAUUGGUUGGGGCCCUGGGCAACCUGACCUAGUGUGCGGUGUUCCUGCCAUGGUAGGGGGAUUGAAACUGGAUGAUCUUUAUGCUCCUUUCCAACUAAAACCAUUCUGUGAUUCUAUGAAAGCCAAUUUUGAUGAGAUUCACUUGAAACCUCACUCUAAAAAUAUUAUAUAAGUAGGUAGCCACUAAGAAUGACUAAGGUUUAGAAGAUAAGAUUAACGUUAUAAGAAAUCAGGCAAAUUACAUGCAGACAUGAUCCAACCACAGGAUAUGGGAUGCAUUGGUUGGGAGAACCCCACUUAGUUUGCUCAAGGAUAUUUUUUUUAUCAGGAAGCUAAAUAUAAUAUAGAGGGUGUGGCCUCAAGUUUAGCCAAGGGAGAUUCAGGUUGGACAAUAGGAAAAACUUCUUCAAAAGAGUGGUCAGGCAGUGGAAAGGGCUGCCCAGGGAGGUGGUGGAGUCACUGUCACUGGAGGUGUUCAGUACAUGUCUAGAUGUUGUACUGAGGGACAUGGUUUAGUGGGAAAUAUUGAGAGUAGGUGGACAGUAGGACUGGAAAAUCCUGGAGGUCUUUUCCAACCUUAGUGAUACAAUGAUUCUGUGAUUAUAUAAAUUAUUUCAUAGGUGUUAUUCAGCUCUCUCCAAUCAAGUCAGCAAGAUUUUAACUGAAGUUGUCUCAUGCUUGGCCAACCUGUUAGAUUGCAGUGAUGAGUUGACAGGCUUGGUGUAUGAGGAGAGUACAGUGGAUGUGAUUUAUCUCAGCUUUGGCAAGACUUUCACCACAUUCUCCCAUAUUGUCACCUACAUAACACUCCAGAAAUUAAUGAGUUGCAGACUAAAUGAAUGGACAGUGAGAUGGACUGUAAACUGUCUGAAUUGCUGGGCUUAACAGGCUGUGAUCAUGAAGUCCAGCUGGAGGCCAGUCAUAGCUAUGUACCUCAGGGGAAGAUACUGGGGCCAGUAGAUUUUAACACCUUCAUUAAUGACCUGGGCAACUCAACAGAGUGAAUCCUCUGCAAAUUUGCAGAUACAAUAAAACUGAGAAAAGAGUUUGCUAGACUAGAUGCUUGUGCAUCCAUUCAAAAGGACCUUGACACACUGAAGAACUAGGCUAACAGGAAACUCAUGAAGUUAAAUAAAGGGAAAUGCCAUGUCCUCCUCAUGAGGAGGAACAACCUCUUGCACCAGGAAAGGUUGAGGCCAGCUGGUUGGAAAGCAAUGCUGUAGAAAAUGCUGUGAUAUUCCUGGAGAGCAGCAAGUUAACCAUGGGCCAGCAAUGUACCCUUGAAGUACAUUGGGCUGCACUAUGCUGAGCAUUACCUGCAGGUCAUAUAAGGUGAUCUUUUCUCUCUGUUCAAACAAACCUGGAGCACUGAGUCCAGCCAUGGUCUUCCCAGUACAAGAGACCUGGGUAUACUGCAGCAGGUCCAG